rnacentral:rRNA from 1 species
UGGGGAAUAUUGCACAAUGGGGGGAACCCUGAUGCAGCAAUGCCGCGUGGGUGAAGAAGUACCCCGGUACGUAAAGCCCUAUCAGCAGGGAAGAUAAUGACAGUACCUGGUUAAGAAGCCCCGGCUAACUACGUGCCAGCAGCCGCGGUAAUACGUAGGGGGCGAGCGUUAUCCGGAUUUACUGGGUGUAAAGGGAGCGCAGGCGGCGUGGCAAGUCAGAUGUGAAAACCCGGGGCCCAACCCCGGGACUGCAUUUGAAACUGCCAUGCUGGAGUGCCGGAGAGGCAAGUGGAAUUCCUAGUGUAGCGGUGAAAUGCGUAGAUAUUAGGAAGAACACCAGUGGCGGAGGCGGCUUGCUGGACGGUAACUGACGCUGAGGCUCGAAAGCGUGGGGAGCAAACAGG